AUAAACAAAUUACGUAGAUAAGGCCCCAGGUAAUAAUGACAUCGGAUUUCAAGCGAUUACAGGAAUAUUUUACUGUUAUGAAAGUGUGAUAAAAAGAAAAAUAUUCAUGACAAUGAAAUCGACACGUCUUAUUAUUAUUUUUGUGCUACUUAUGAUAUUACAUGUAGGAUUAAAUGAAAUAACGACAAAAGACAGUGAAGGAAAAAGCCGAGGAGUGAUGGUAAAAAGAAUUAUGUUUUCGUCUAUAAGAAGGAAAUCAAAGCGAUUACAUGGAAUUCACAACACUGGGUCUAGGAGAAGAAAACGUCCCACUUUAAUACGAAAAAAAGAUGUAGCAUAAAUCAUGCUUUGCAAAUUCUUGUCUAUAAAUUAAUACAUUAGGAUACACUGUGGCGUGUGAAUUGUAUACAUGUACUUAAUUUCAAUAUUCUGAUUUUCAUUUUUUGAGCGUCAGCUAUAUCAGAGGCCUUGCCAAUGUACUGUUAGGGAACUGCUAAAGUCAAACAUGCUUUGUGUCGCAUAUUAUAGUUUAACAUUAGAAUAACUAUUAUUUUUAGAGUGAGAUUUCUAUUUGUUCUAUAUUUUAGUCAUUUAACUCAUUGGUAAGAUGUCUCUUUCUUAUAUUGAGUAUAAAAAUGGUGUUCAAUAAAAAUUUGACAAAAGCA